UUGUUUUUUUCUUCUCUCUCUUGAACAUUGGACUGACUUUCUAGAAGGAAAAUUGUCCAUUGCACGCUGGCAGUCCCGGUGCAAAAAAAAAGCACCUCCAAGAAAUAAAACCGUGGCAAAAAAUUCAAAGAUGUUUAGAUUCUUCGCUCAGUCUGUCGCUGUAUUUCUCUUAGUUUUUGUUAUUUUAACAAACUGGGUAGUGGUAAAAAGUGCUGAAGUCGUAAACGGAGCGUACCGGAGAAUUUGUAAAUAAUGUUAAAACAUUAUUUCAAAAAACGCAGUCUGAGACACUAAGUUGUGCGUGUGUGUAUUGUACAGUAUGUGUUUAAAUAGGCUUACUGUGUGGUAUGCUUUUAUUCUGAUUUACUGUGUACGGAAUUAUCUAGAAGUUACGGUAACUCGAAUUGUGAUUGAUAACUAAUAUUUUAAUAACGUGUAUUGAAAAGGAAAUCUGUUUUUUGUUUACAUCUACUACAGUGGUUACAUUUUGAUAGCAUUUGACAGUGUUAUUGUAUAUUAUUAUUAUAGUGCGUCAUCUUUCAGCUAACAGAGAGAGUAUUGUAUUUAAAUAUACGUGUCCUUAUUUAAAUAAGAUGCAACGACAAAGCUAGAAACAUACUUGGAAUACAUAUUUAUUUUGAGAAACAGUAUUUAUUUUAUGUUGCGGAUACGGAAAACCCUUAGACCACUGUUUGGACACAUUGAUGAUAUUCAGCGUGCAGUCAAGUCAUUGUUGUCCUUUUUGUGACUGUCAUUCUGGCCCCUCAACUCUACGUCCUAUUAAGGAUUCACAACGGUCCUAACCCUGGUAGACCCGGUUCCUCAGGAGGUGAAGGCAGGGUUUCAUGUGUUCGAAGUGGCUUCCUUCGCUGUAGGACUGUGCACUACUGUACUCACUGCCAGGGAACCUCAGUGUCAUUUUUCCUGAUCAUGGGGGCUUGCUGGAUUGCUAACAAGCUCUCCCCUGGACUGGUGCUCGAUAAGCGCUCUCAAACUGGUUUCUGCUACCAGCCAGUCAGCUGCUGCUCCUGCCUGUGGCACGUCUAAAUCAAACACGGAGAGCCCCAUAAAUAAUGGAAGCCAUUUCUAUGGCAACCCCGGCAACCAGAGAAACUGGAAAUAUCUACAGUGAAGCCAAGUGCCUGUACAACCCACAGCAGAACUGAUAAGAAAGACGUGUCUGUUUAUUCAUAUACUGUGUCAGAGACCCAGUGUAUUAAUUAUUAAGAGACCCUGCACUCUCAUCUGUGUUUUUCCCCCCAUCAUUGCUUCAAUAUAAACUGCAGAGACAGUUUAAGAUCAGGUGCUUGAAAAAGCCUUGGACACUGAUGAGUUGUUUUUUCUGCAUUAUCUUCUGUUACCGUAACUGCCUUUUGACCAUUUUACAGAAACGAGGUCAGUGUUUUAACUGCAGCCACAGAAUGUGCCUUUGUAAAUCCUUCCUAAUUGAAGUGAACCCCAGAAUACCUUGUUUAGCAAAGAAUGUGGGAGUGUUACCUUUUCAUGAAGCCACCCGUUCCCUUGAGAGAGAGAGUUUGGUACUGUGCUGUAAAUACAGAUAACCAUUAAUUGCUGUUAUUUGCUUUUAAAAUCAGGUUGUUACUUAAUUUUAUUUUUACAUUAAAAACAAUGUUUCCAGCAAAUUGCAAAGUAUUAAUAGAGUUGUUUCAACAACCCUUUCUUUGCCAUCUCAAAGGGAUUCCCACGCAUCAGAUUGCACUGCAAUUUGUUUUCUGGGCUUACAUUUUCAGGCUAAAUGAUAAAGAAUAAAACUGGGGUAUGGUUGACUUUAUCCUUAAGUAAAUGCUGCUGAUUAUCUUUUAAUCUGGAGUCCAAUUACUCUUGUUCAUUCACUGGACAAUGAGGAAAUUUAUCAGUUUAAAGUGAUGUAGGUACGACAUCAAAGAUGAUUGAGAAAUGUUUACUUAUUAAUACAGUAAGAAAUGUGUCUAAUGUGUCACUUUUGUUCUCUUUAACGUACCCAAUUAAUAGACAUACCUGUUUCACUCAUCACCAUCAGAGAUUGAAGGGGUACAAAAAUAAGUUUUUUUUUUUUUUAUAUAUAUAUUGUAUUUCAUCUAUAACUUUAAACAUUCAUAAAGUCUAAAUAAAACUGAACUUUUUAAUCCAGUAGAGAAACAGCAAGAAAGCUGAAACACUUGACUAAGUGACUGUGUCUUUGUACCUAAAAUCGUUUUCCAUUUUAAUAAAUGUAUUUUACCGAA